CACACACACACACACACACACACACGCACGCACACACACAGGACAAAAAGCCAACAUGAGCAAUGCUCUCAUCAUCAUAUUUUCUGCUACGUUUUUGUGUCUAGCAGGUUCUGGUGUUUGUUCUGUAGUCCAGAAUCCUCCUGAUCUCGUAAAAAACCAAGAUGAGAUUGCUGAAAUCAAAUGUGCACACACUGUAAAGAACUAUGACCGCAUUCUGUGGUACAAACACAGUCAAGAGACAGGAUUUACACUCAUGGGAUACCUUUCAAAUGCCUAUGCAAAGCCAGAGGAAGAAUUUCAAAACAAAAUCAAACUGAAUGGUGAUGGAAGCAAAGACGGCACUUUGACUAUAAACAGUCUUUCAGUGAGCGACAGUGCUGUGUAUUACUGUGCAGCUUAUUACACAGUGCUGUAG